rnacentral:tRNA from 1 species
GGUGGCUCAGUGGUAGAGCAUUUGCCUUGCAAGCAUGAGGCCCUGGGUUCGAUUCCUCAGUACCA